UAUGACAAACACUGCAAAAACU
rnacentral:miRNA from 1 species